rnacentral:tRNA from 1 species
UUGACUUGGCAGAAGCAAUGCGAUUGAUUUAGGGUCAAUUUAUAAAUUAAUAUUUAGUCGGC